rnacentral:rRNA from 1 species
UACGUAGGCAGCAAGCGUUGUUCGGAGUUACUGGGCGUAAAGGGUGCGUAGGCGGCUUUUUAAGUUUGGUGUGAAAUCUCCCGGCUCAACUGGGAGGGUGCGCCGAAUACUGAGAGGCUAGAGUGCGGGAGAGGAAAGUGGAAUUCCUGGUGUAGCGGUGAAAAUGCGUAGAUAUCAGGAGGAACACCGGUGGUGUAAACGGCUUUCUGGACCGUAACUGACGCUGAUGCACGAAAAGCGUGGGGUAGCAAACAGG